CAGAGAAAAUUUUACAUUCACAGUCCCAUCAUGUUGUUUAAAAUAAAAAUCCAAGUUUAGUCAUAUACUGUAUCUGUAUGCAACACAGAGAUUGAAUAAAAAUCAUAUGAAUAAAAAGUAAUGCGAGGUAGAAACUAGUCAGAGAAAAAUCAAUGAGAAUCGGGGAUAGACGAGAAGGAUGGAAAGCCAGUAUAAAAAACAAAUUUUUUUUUUUUGACGAUCCGGAAACUUUAUUUUUCAUGCCAGAAAUUGGUCACCAGCGAGACAGCCAUUGCUACUGCCUUUCCCUUCCCCAUUUUUCGGCGAUACCAGCCAACCCCGCGUUGGUGCCGCCUCCAUAUCCUUUCCCAGAUCUGUUUCUGGCGCUAUCUCUUCUCCCCUCACCUGCGCCGUCGACCUUUUUUUUUUUUCUUUCCAUCCCAUCGCCGGAAAACUGAUCAUCCACGCCCCACUCCCCUUCCCUUCUCCCUCGCGCCGAUCCAACCUCCCUUCUCCCCUUCCCCGCACCACCGUCCUUCUCCUUUUCGUCGGCGCUUUAUGAUCUCCAUCCCUUUCCCGUCGCCGAUGACUCCUUUUUUUUUCUCCAUUUCCGGCGAAGCCCGACGGUAACCAAUCAAAAAUCGGUGAUCCACAACCAUCCGAACAUACACACACUUUUCACGCACGUAUGCUAGGGACCACCACGUCACCGGAAAAAUCUCCACUGUCGUCAUACCAUUUACCGGCCAGAUUUAGUCGUAGUUAAGAGUUUUCAUGGCUUUUUGAAGGAUUGGGUUUAUGUUAUUUUUUAUAUAUAUUCGUAUGUGUUAAUUUUUAUACAAGUUGGUUUAGAAUAAUUUAG
rnacentral:lncRNA from 1 species